UGGCGGACGGGUGAGUAACGCGUGAGUAACCUGCCCUUAGGAAAGGGAGUAGCGUCUGGAAACGGACGGUAAUACCAUAUAAAGUAUAUUAACGGCAUCGUAGAUAUACCAAAGCUGAGGCGCCUAAGGAUGGACUCGCGUCUGAUUAGAUAGUUGGUGGGGUAACGGCCUACCAAGUCGACGAUCAGUAGCCGGACUGAGAGGUUGAACGGCCACAUUGGGACUGAGACACGGCCCAGACUCCUACGGGAGGCAGCAG
rnacentral:rRNA from 1 species